ACUAUACUAUUUGGGAACAAACAUCUUUUUUCUCAGAAUUUUGAAGUUUGUUGAGAAUUACCAUGGAGCUGACACGUCUACAUUAGAUUUCCUCUAAGUUUCUACGUGUGCACUUGGGGUGCUCUGAGAGAAUUUUCAUAGACGUUUCAAGUCCGUGCGACGGUGCAAGUUCAUAUUCAUUUGGUCUUUUCCUACGUACAUGUAGCAGCAUAGGAGGGCCCGAAAUCUUGGAUUUUGCGCGUGGCCGUGCAGUCAAAGCGGUGGUCAUGGUUCCACCAUCACUCCAUCUGGUUCAUUCUAUUUGCCCUCAUCUCUCCCAUUUGAUCUCUUCCAACGCCGCGCCGACGCCAUCUUCCAUCAAGCGUCUGGCGGCGGCUUGGUCCGCGGGCGGUUGUGUCGGUCCCUGUGGAUUUUCAUGGAGACGAAGGGAAGGUGGAGGGGAAAAGCGAGCAGAGCGGCCGCCGCGCAAGGGAGCUGUCCCUACUCGCCGGGAUUUCUUUUUCUGGCCAUGUUCGAAUUGCUGGUUCUACUAGAUCUGUGGGAUUUCCUCUCAGCAUUGAUUUGUUGUUGUGAUUUGGAUUUAAUUCUUUCGGUUAACUGAGUUUUUGUGGUUCGAUUUUUGGCCUGCAGGCCUUGCCCAUGCCAUGACGCCCACGCCCAUCAGCCCUACCUCUCGCCCUUCACAGCCGGUGGAGACGAGAUGCUAUCGAUGAAGUCUGCGGGCUUGGCGCAGCUGCGCCAUGAGGCCUCGCUCUGCUCGCCCUAAGUGCUGGCUCGCCCCUGCAUCGGCGAGUACCAUCUUUAGCCUCUUCGGCUCUUCCUCGAGUUCUUGCCGGGCGGCUCGCUCGCUGACGAGAUGGAGAGGAACGGGCCAGCCUCAAGGGCAAGGCGCCGUCCGGGCGUUCUCGAGGCGAGACGAGAUCUGUUGCUAGACUUGGUCGUCUGGAUGCCCGGGAACGAGUUCGUCAAGUGCCUUGUGCUGGUCGCUGGAGGAGACCUUCCUGCUUCAGCUCUUCUGCGGCGCGCUAGACGACGCCAACGGGUUCAGCGACGAGCAGGGGUAUUCGCGCCACGACCCUGUCUUCGACAAUCCCAACGCCAUGGCCAUCCUUGCUGUGCGGUUCUUCCACCCGGUCAUGCCCAUCAACACACUGAUGGAUCGCUGGAAUUUGUCUAGGCAAGUACUUCAGGGCCGCUCGCGCGGCGUCCGCUGAUUCAGGGCUUCAUGUACUGAUGGCCUCCCCGGUGUUGUUGUCUUCUUGGUCUCGAUGAUGCCCCUCCACCCGUUCUUCUUGCCCCUGUUCCUGAGCUGGUUAGUGCAGUUGAGCCUGCGAGGGAGAAGGUAGGGAUUGAUAUGGCUGCUAGCAAGUAAUUAAUUUCCUAAUCAUGUUCAUUUGUUCACAUGUGAUAGGAUAAUUAGUUUGACUAGAUAGAACCCCGCACCUUUGCUGAGGCAUUGUUCGAAUUCAUUGUACAUAAUGGUUUGAUGUAAAGUCAAAACCUUAAUAUGACCCUGAUAAAGCAUGAGCUAAAGAAAUAACCUGUCUUGUGGAGUAAGUGUUGCUGCAGUGGCAUAAGUGCAUAUAAAAACACUACGCAUGACUAAGAGAAAGAAAAGGAAAUUGUUGGAUUAUAUUCAAACCUGCAAAUACAAAUGUUACUCUAGCUUGCAAUUUCUACUAAAAGAGAAGCAUAAAUACUUGGCAAAAGGAGGAAAAAAAGUUGUCUGAACUGUAAGGUGUUCUGUUUUGUUGUACAAACCAUUAAGUGAAACAAUGAAUUGGUAAUUACCCAUUAUUAUUUCAUGCCACUGCAUAUGAAGUAUACAUGUUAGUAACAUUUUUUGCUGCUUACUAAAAUAUUCUUUCUGCCAACACCUCUAAUUUGUUUGAGCUUCAGCACCGAGUUAUUUCAAAUUCUAAUGACUUGCAGGAAGAAGUCAUUAGUCAUAGUCAUUAGUACUUUACAUCUCAAUCGGCUCUACACUAAAUAACUUUAAGUCAUCAUAAACACCUUUAAGAAAUCACAUGCUUCCACCGAGUUAACUGCACACAUUAAAUAACUUACUAUGGAGAUGAAUAAAUAUGACCAAUUUACUACGAAAUAGCAUUCUGUAAUUAUAUAGAUAGCAGGCUGGGAACUUAUUUCUGUAGCUAAAAAUCACCAUGGUUUUAUUACCUGCAUGUUUUUAUUUUGCAUGGUAUCUACAGAUUAUGGUUCAUGUUUGCCAGCCACAUAUAUACUCCAACCCUCAUCUGGCAACAAUUAUUGGUCUCUUCAUCUUAUCUGAAAAGGUAGAAUCAAAACAAAUUAGUUCUUCUAGCCCACAUCACAAACACAAAGCAGAACCUGCUCUUUCCAUCUGAAGUGAGGCGAAAAUGCUCUUUCCAAAGAACCUGCCAUUUGGAGUUCCGGGCCAUCUUAUGAAGGCCCCUGUCUACACCUGCAUGCACUACAAUCUGAAGCGAGGCGAUCCUGCUCUUUCCAAGGACUGUUGCUUCUCUCUCAGGAAAAAAACAAAGGGUAAUUAGAGGCAUCAGUCGACAGUCUCUGUAGAUGCUGAAAUUAAGCAUCCGGGUGUGAUCUAAUAGGUUCUAAAAAAGUUCAAUCACCUUUCCACAAGAUCCCAUGAGAAUCCCCACACAUCACUACUUAGAUCACAAUACCACUUGGCUUGAGCUUCUUCUCCAAAUAGAAUUUGCAGGUCAAGUUUCCUAUGCCGCAAAUCCCAAUCUUCAGAUAAAUUUUCCCCUGCAGUACAAAAGUCAAGUUUCCUAUGCCUCAAAUCCCAAUCUUCAGAUAAAUUUUCCCCUGCAGUAGAAAAAAUAAAAUGGAACUUCAGAGACAGAGAGAGAGAGGACCCGACCUAUAUGCAUAGUGGAUGCAGUGGAGAUAUGAGCCAAGUAGAAAGGUGAGGAGGUGAAAAAAGGGCAUUCUCGCUCUUGAGGUUAACAUGAACCACAUACAUGGAUCGUAGAAAAAGCAAGUAAAUUGCUCUGGUUUUCAUAUGGGGAAAAAUGGAAAAUUAACUAGAGUAGUAGAAACUUUUGGUGGAGGUUUAUGAUUUGUUAAUGUUGCUAAUGUUUAAAAGUAGCUUUAUCUAAUUUCCCCUUCAAAGAUGUAGAAAUGAAUAAGAGCUGAUCCUUUUUAGAGUCAUUCCAGUUUCCGAUUGCUGAAUCUGGAAGCUCUUCAAAAGAGUAGAGGUUUCCAGGUAUAAAAUAAUCCACCACCAUGGCCAAUGGUGGUCCUCUCUAGCUCUUUGCAAAUUGCAUCUUGUACUUUUUUUUGCAAAGGUCCAGUUUGCCUCUUCUAUUUCCAUGUCUUGACAAGUUUGAAGCUUGCCCAAUAAGAACAGCAACAUAAUAAGUGUUUAUAAGGUAUUCUCCAGUGGUUGUGCUCUUGCAGAUGUUUGUUUUUCAAUCAAAUUCUUGGAAAUUCCCUUGGACUGUUACUUUCUAUAUACCUACAAGGAAGUACGUAUUUGAGUAGCAUUUUCAGAAAAUAGGAUAUUGUGAGUAAAUACUACAUGUCAUCUACUUUUUUCACAUUUUAGUAGCAUAUGUCCCUUUGCAAAAUGUGUGUGGGCAGGAAAAGUAAGGUAAACAAUGGUACAUCAAAGACCAAAUUGUAAUUAUAAAGAGCGCUGUGUUGAAAGGAGGAGGAAAAUUUCUAUGUAUUUUAGUUGACAGAAUAGCAUAGAUGAGGUAAUGAUUAAUAAAAAUUUAUUAAUUGAAUCAUCUCCCUGUCUUUGCUUCGAAUGGUUGUGCUCAAAUUCAAUGUGCUAGGAACAUAUAUGGCUGGGUGUUUUGAGAACGUAUAUGACUUCUGAGGUAACAUAAAUUUUUAUGUCAUAAUGCAGUUUCUAGCACGGAAACAUCCCACUUUGGUAUUAUAAGUGUGCAUAAGGUUCCAAUGCUGUGCAUAGAUAAACACAAAUUUUGAAGUAUGUGAUAUAGAUUUUUCUCUUUCAACCACAACAAGGUACAGAUGAGGCAACUAAAUGGGUUAAAUGGAUGUGGUUCUGGACAAUACAUAUCCUCAUCUCUCUCUCCUCUUCUUUUACUUGCAUUUAUGUUAGCUUUCGUCUGAUUUUUCAUCAAGUACUUAUCCUCGAGUUUAUUCAGUAUCUCUAAGCUAUUGGAGAUGGUAAUUUUGUUGAUUGAGAGAUGUCUCCUCGACCUUGGUGAUAUCAUUAUCUUCAAAUCAAUUUUCUACACAUGUAGCUGUUGGAACUCAUUUGGCAAUAUAUUAAGGAUGAAAUGAGACCAAGGAGAUUCAUUUUUGUGUUGGGUAUCACUGCGCUUCUUGUUUUCUAUAUGUAAAUCAAAAAGAUAUUUUCUGCCCUUGACUGGUAAAGCUCUUGACCGGUAGUUAAGUGGUUCAUGCUCUUGGUCGGUACAGUUGAGUGGUUCAUAUGAAAUGUAUAACCGAAUGAUAUUUAGUCAGUGACUUUUGUAUAAAAAUAAUAAUAAUAAACAUAAAGCACUGAAUCCUAGGUUCUCUGUUUUCUAGCAUGUCAACUCUUUCAUCUCAACAAUUAAUGUGAACUUAACUUACGGGAAAGUUGCAGACUGCGGGACCAUUGGAUUGUUUGUCAUUUCUCCUUUUCUUUUUCUCACAUGGUUCUCCAUUAAUCUCACAGAACUUGAUUCAAAGGUUUUGGUUGAUAUUGGUUCCACAACUUGAUUCAAAGGCCGUAAAACAUCUCGGAAAGCUGCGGAUGAUGUUGAUUCUGAAAUUGCUAAGCUCACAAAACAAUCCAUGGACAUCGGCACAUACAGUACAUGCUACAUAUAAUUUUACCUUCUUGUGCAUAGGGAAACACAAUGGAAGACUAUAUAGGAUCAGUCUAUACAUUUGAAAUAUGGUAGCGGAGGGCCCAAUGAUUUCUGCGCUUGAUUGUUCUUGUGUUUGUGUGGGAGCUUCUAGCUGGAUCGCUACAUUAUUACAAAAAGUUACUUAACAUGGUGGCAUUCGCAAGUACUCUUCGAUAGUAUUCUUGCACCCGAAGUCGGAUACCUACUAUCCGUACAUGUUCAUGUACAAAACUAUUAUCUAUUUUGCUUAAACAGUGGAUUGGCAGUGGAGAAUUAGAACUGUUAAGAGAGGAUCCCUGAUUACAACUCAGUUGGAUGCGAAUCUCUCAAAUUGUUCAUCUUGAGUUAAGUGAUCUGCCCGCAACUUAAACUUAGUGCCCCUAAUUGAGUAUGUACCAAGUCAUUUUGAUUUGGUCAAGACGGGCGAUAGUGAUUCAGAUUUGGGCAAUGCAUUACUACAGGUUAAGAUGCUACGGCUACGUCUCCACACUCAAAUCUUGACUGAUUUCAAUACUUACCUAUAUGAGUGCGUGCAAUCGCUGAUGCAUCAUAUUUUGUUCAAUUGAUGUUGCAUCAUAUUUUGUUCAAUUGAUGUUGCAUCAUAUUUUGUUCAAUUGAUGUUGUAAUGGACUUUUGUGUGUACUAUGAUGGUUGUUCAAUCUGUGUUAUUCCUAUAA